rnacentral:rRNA from 1 species
UACACUCCUGCGGGAGGCAGCAGUGGGGAAUUUUGGACAAUGGGCGAAAGCCUGAUCCAGCAAUGCCGCGUGCAGGAUGAAGGCCUUCGGGUUGUAAACUGCUUUUGUACGGAACGAAAAAGCUCCUUCUAAUACAGGGGGCCCAUGACGGUACCGUAAGAAUAAGCACCGGCUAACUACGUGCCAGCAGCCGCGGUAAUACGUAGGGUGCGAGCGUUAAUCGGAAUUACUGGGCGUAAAGCGUGCGCAGGCGGUUAUGUAAGACAGAUGUGAAAUCCCCGGGCUCAACCUGUGAACUGCAUUUGUGACUGCAUGGCUAGAGUACGGUAGAGGGGGAUGGAAUUCCGCGUGGAGCAGUGAAAUGCGUAGAUAUGCGGAGGAACACCGAUGGCGAAGGCAAUCCCCUGGACCUGUACUGACGCUCAUGCACGAAAGCGUGGGGAGCAAACAGGAUUAGAAACCCUUGUAGUCCC